UGGGGAAUAUUGCACAAUGGGCGAAAGCCUGAUGCAGCAACGCCGCGUGAGUGAUGAAGGCCUUCGGGUUGUAAAGCUCUGUCUUUUGGGACGAUAAUGACGGUACCAAAGGAGGAAGCCACGGCUAACUACGUGCCAGCAGCCGCGGUAAUACGUAGGUGGCAAGCGUUGUCCGGAUUUACUGGGCGUAAAGGAUGCGUAGGCGGAUUUUUAAGUGAGAUGUGAAAACCCUAAGCUUAACUUGGGGACUGCAUUUCAUACUGGAAAUCUAGAGUGCGGGAGAGGAGAAUGGAAUUUCUAGUGUAGCGGUGAAAUGCGUAGAGAUUAGGAAGAACACCAGUGGCGAAGGCGAUUCUCUGGACCGUAACUGACGCUGAGGCAUGAAAGCGUGGGUAGCAAACAGGAUUAGAUACCCUGGUAGUCCACGCCGUAAACGAUGAGUACUAGGUGUAGGAGGUAUCGACCCCUUCUGUGCCGCAGUUAACACAAUAAGUACUCCGCCUGGGAAGUACGAUCGCAAGAUUAAAACUUAAAUGAAUUGACGGGGUCAUAGCUGUUUCCU
rnacentral:rRNA from 1 species